rnacentral:ribozyme from 1 species
CAGGAAGGAAAGAGAAACGAGAAAAGAGAAGAUAGUAAAAGAGAAAGUGACUCCUCCCGCCUUUCGUGUUAGCGGGUUUCUCUUUGAGGUGUACCUUCCCUCGUUCCUCGUCUGUAGGCUAGUCCUGUCUAUGAGAGAUCCCGCACCGGAUGGAAGGGUAAGGAUUAACUCAUGAACUCACGAAUAGACAGGUUAUAGCGACCAGCGGGAGAGGGUUCUCUCACAAUAUAAUUCCCGAAAUGAAAAGAAGGGAAUGGCAAGCCUUUCCGUAAAGACCCAACAUAUUAACUAUUUUAUAUUGGAAAUCUAUUUAUCU